rnacentral:rRNA from 1 species
GACGAACGCUGGCGGCGUGCUUAACACAUGCCAGUCGAACGGAAAGGCCCUGCUUUUGUGGGGUGCUCGAGUGGCGAACGGGUGAGUAACACGUGAGUAACCUGCCCUUGACUUUGGGAUAACUUCAGGAAACUGGGGCUAAUACCGGAUAGGAGCUCCUGCUGCAUGGUGGGGGUUGGAAAGUUUCGGCGGUUGGGGAUGGACUCGCGGCUUAUCAGCUUGUUGGUGGGGUAGUGGCUUACCAAGGCUUUGACGGGUAGCCGGCCUGAGAGGGUGACCGGCCACAUUGGGACUGAGAUACGGCCCAGACUCCUACGGGAGGCAGCAGUGGGGAAUAUUGCACAAUGGUCAGAAGCCUGAUGCAGCAACGCCGCGUGCGGGAUGACGGCCUUCGGGUUGUAAACCGCUUUCGCCUGUGACGAAGCGUGAGUGACGGUAAUGGGUAAAGAAGCACCGGCUAACUACGUG